rnacentral:rRNA from 1 species
GAUGAACGCUGGCGGCGUGCCUAAUACAUGCAAGUCGAGCGAACGGACGAGAAGCUUGCUUCUCUGAUGUUAGCGGCGGACGGGUGAGUAACACGUGGAUAACCUACCUAUAAGACUGGGAUAACUUCGGGAAACCGUAGCUAAUACCGGAUAAUAUUUUGAACCGCAUGGUUCAAAAGUGAAAGACGGUCUUGCUGUCACUUAUAGAUGGAUCCGCGCUGCAUUAGCUAGUUGGUAAGGUAACGGCUUACCAAGGCAACGAUGCAUAGCCGACCUGAGAGGUGGAUCGGCCGCAGUGGAAGUGAGACCCGGGCCAAACCCCGACGGGGGGCAGAGGUAGGAAAUCUUCCGCAAUGGGCGAAAGCCUGAGGGAGCAACGCCGGGGGAGUGAAGAAGUUUUUGGUUUCGUAAAACUCUUUUUUUGGGGAAGAAAAUUUGUGUAAGUAACGGUGCAACUUUUGACGGGACCAAAUCAAAAAGCCCCGGCUAACUCCGG